UACGUAGGGACCAAGCGUUGUUCGGAUUUACUGGGCGUAAAGGGCGCGUAGGCGGCGUGGUAAGUCACUUGUGAAAUCUCUGAGCUUAACUCAGAACGGCCAAGUGAUACUGCUGUGCUAGAGUGCAGAAGGGGCAAUCGGAAUUCUUGGUGUAGCGGUGAAAUGCGUAGAUAUCAAGAGGAACACCUGAGGCGAAGACGGGUUGCUGGGCUGACACUGACGCUGAUGCGCGAAAGCCAGGGGAGCAAACGGG
rnacentral:rRNA from 1 species